rnacentral:rRNA from 1 species
AUUGAACGCUGGCGGCAGGCCUAACACAUGCAAGUCGAGCGAGCGGCGGACGGGUGAGUAAUGUCUGGGAAACUGCCUGAUGGAGGGGGAUAACUACUGGAAACGGUAGCUAAUACCGCAUACUAUCAGAUGUGCCCAGAUGGGAUUAGCUAGUAGGUGGGGUAACGGCUCAACUAGGCGACGAUCCCUAGCUGGUCUGAGAGGAUGACCAGUCACACUGGAACUGAGACACGGUCCAGACUCCUACGGGAGGCAGCAGUGGGGAAUAUUGCACAAUGGGCGCAAGCCGGAUGCAGCCAUGCCGCGUGUGUGAAGAAGGCCUUCGGGUUGUAAAGCACUUUCAGCGGGGAGGCGUUACCCGCAGAAGAAGCACCGGCUAACUCCGUGCCAGCAGCCGCGGUAAUUC